UUUACUUUAGGCCAGUGAGGAAAGAACAGCAUACAACCCUGAAGGAUCCGUACUGAGUAACACCAGGGAGAGAGAGAAGAAGAACUGUCCACCAGCUCCAGUGUGCAAAAAAUGUCAUUUAAUUUUUCUAUAGCUGAACUUCGUUUGUAUUAACAGCCCCAUUCACCAAGGAGAAAAUAAAGGAACUCAGAGAUUAUCCACAUUUUCCCAGUGAUGGCAUGCAGUUAUGCGGUUGCUUAUGCUGCUUCCAACCAGAUAUGGGAAGCCACUGCGUGUGAGUUGUUGUCUAUACAUACUGGUGUCCGUCCCCUAAGAGAUCGUCAUUUCUGCCCUGUGUUACAGUCAUCAUGGUUGAAUUGGCCUUUGUUUCCUCAAGCACUGCGCCUUGAAUCAGAAAAACAUCCUCUGGACUUAGAAAGGAAAUUUGCCCAGGAGUUUACUAGCCUUCCAACCCUCAGAGCCAGGGGUUUCUGUUCCCACUGUAACAGUUCUGAGAGAGGAAGUUUCCCUGGCUCAGGAAAGGAAAGGAACAGCAAGCUACUCAAAAAACACGAGUCAAGCACUCCCAGUCCAACGUCAAGUUUACUGGUUUUACCUUGAAGAUGUUCCAAGACCUAGAAUAGUUCCUGGCACAUGGCGAGUCACUGAGCACACAGUAAAGAAAGACCAAAUAUACAGAAGUAAUAGAAUAAAUUCCUUAUUGUAAAAUCAAA
rnacentral:lncRNA from 1 species